GCCUGGCUUUGUCGGAGGAACCGCAGGUGGUAUGCAUGCAGGAAUGGGUGUUGCUAUGCCUCGAGGAAUUGACGGUGGUAUGCCUGGAGCUGGAUGUCAUCUUGAAUGACCUUGACCUGAUGAUAACAUUUGGUGACCCUGAGGUCAUGUCGGCUCUUCAAGAUUGUACGGUUUUCCACUCAAAUAGCCCCCUCUCCCCCCGCGCUUCCUUUAUGGUGUGAUCCCCUUAUUAUUGUUAAUAAUAUGGUGUGCUAGAUGGUGGGUGCCCUCUUUGCAGUUCUAACUUUUGACAUAUGGUAUAGUUGUAUCAA